GAUCCGCCUUUCGAAUUGUCACCGUAUGGUGGCGUGGCUGGGACAACCAGUCUAGAAGGCGGAUCGCUC
rfam:Candidatus Gottesmanbacteria bacterium RIFCSPHIGHO2_02_FTLL_39_11 rifcsphigho2_02_scaffold_4162, whole genome shotgun sequence.